GCAUUUGCAGAAUUAUGUCCCUAUUUGUUAACUUCAAAUCACUUGUGAUGAUCAUAUAUUAUAUCAAAAUCAACGAUCAUAUAACCAUAAUCCAACACGUAUGUUCUAAGGUUAUAAAUAUAUCUAUAGGCCAUUUCAAAAGUUAUACAAGACAGUACCCCCAAAAUACGACAAAAUAGAGUGUAAGCUCAAAACAAUAGCCCACAAAAUAACGCUACAAGUCGUCAUCCAUGUACAUCGAACUCUGAAAUCCCGUAAGAGCUCCAUAGCUAGCCAUGCUCUUUAUGUAGUUCCAUGUUCACCUACAAUACAAGAACUACAUAAGUCAAUGCUUAGUAAGUAAAAUCAUGCAUGUCCUGAACAUGAGUUAUAACGAUAUAUGACACCAUGCCAUUUAUUUUAAAUAUCACGAUAAAAAGUAUCAUAUUUCAAUAUUUGUCAAAGUCGACUAGAAAUCAUUUCACUUGAAAUCUUUCAUUUCAUUAGGCCCUUGACCCACCUACUAUGCACCAGAUAGAGCUCUGCAUAAUAUUAAUAUCAAUAAUCAAGUGGCCAAUAUGAAAUCGACACUGGCGAGUAGACCAUCCUCUCGUGAUCGCUAGAGGCCCAUCCCCUAACUACCCCUAUGAUCACCCAAGAAGUCUUCCACCCGGCAGCACCAAUAAUCAUAACAAGGGCAUAGUCCAGUGGUCCGCCCUGCCAUGAUCACCAAAGGCCCAUCCCCUGUCUACCUUUGCAAUCACCCAGGAAGUAUCACCCGCGAUGCCAAACGUAUCACAUAAGCAUGCCUCGGUGCCCUAGUAGUGGUCAAUAAAAUAUUUAUAAA
rnacentral:lncRNA from 1 species